GAUGAACGCUGGCGGCGUGCCUAAUACAUGCAAGUCGAGCGAACAGACGAGGAGCUUGCUCCUCUGACGUUAGCGGCGGACGGGUGAGUAACACGUGGAUAACCUACCUAUAAGACUGGGAUAACUUCGGGAAACCGGAGCUAAUACCGGAUAAUAUAUUGAACCGCAUGGUUCAAUAGUGAAAGACGGUCUUGCUGUCACUUAUAGAUGGAUCCGCGCCGCAUUAGCUAGUUGGUAAGGUAACGGCUUACCAAGGCAACGAUGCGUAGCCGACCUGAGAGGGUGAUCGGCCACACUGGAACUGAGACACGGUCCAGACUCCUACGGGAGGCAGCAGUAGGGAAUCUUCCGCAAUGGGCGAAAGCUUGACGGAGCAACGCCGCGUGAGUGAUGAAGGUCUUCGGAUCGUAAAACUCUGUUAUUAGGGAAGAACAUAUGUGUAAGUAACUGUGCACAUCUUGACGGUACCUAAUCAGAAAGCCACGGCUAACUACGUG
rnacentral:rRNA from 1 species